CAGGAAUGCGAGACCAGCCUGGGCAACAUAGUGAGAUCUCUGUUUUACAAAAUAAAGAAAGAAAAACUAGCCAGGCAUGGUGGCACAUAUCUGUGGUCCCAGCUACUAGGGAGGCUGAGCAGGGAGGAUCACUUGAGCCCAGGCAAUCAAGACUACAGUGAACCGUGAUUGCACCACUGUACUCCAGCCUUAGCAACAGAGUGAGAUCCUAUCUAAAAAAGAAAAAAAAAAAAGGAAAAAAUGAUGCAAAAAGUCUGUAGGUUUAAGCAGCGUCUAAUACACAAAUGGUCACUGAGGGGGAAGAGCUCUGAGAAUCACCACUGCAACUGCAUUGAGAGUACAGGACUCAGGUUGUUUGAUCAGGUGUUGUUCCUGCAGCAUAUCUUGCCAUGUAUAAGCCCUCUAUUUCACCCCACACACGCAUACAGACACACAAUGAAGAAAGUGGGAGUCACACUGUCAUUCUGCCACCUUCUCUAGCUCAUCUACUCUUCUUGCAAAUGAACUUCAGAUGUUAAACAGUGUUUUUACUUACAUCUUUCAAAAUGGGGAAAUGCCAUUCCUAAUACAACUACUGCCUCUUUAAAUGUUUUGUGUCACGGUGAUUUGUUGCAGAUGGGUAACAUGUAGCCAGAUGGGGGUCUGUUCUUUACCUCAAAACUAGGAUUCUUCAGGGACCCAAUAUGAUGGAGUGUGCUUUGCAUAAUGGGCUUAUUUGAUGAGCACAGUUGUUUUUUGACUAAAACCAAUCUAUAAGCUUAGGCCAUACAUCAUGUUGCUAAAUAAAUAAAUACUAAAUAAAUCAAGCC
rnacentral:lncRNA from 1 species